GACGAACGCUGGCGGCGUGCUUAACACAUGCAAGUCGAACGGAAAGGCCCUGCUUUUGUGGGGUGCUCGAGUGGCGAACGGGUGAGUAACACGUGAGUAACCUGCUCUUGACUUUGGGAUAACUUCAGGAAACUGGGGCUAAUACCGGAUAGGAGCUCCUGCUGCAUGGUGGGGGUGGGAAAGUUUCGGCGGUUGGGGAUGGACUCGCGGCUUAUCAGCUUGUUGGUGGGGUAGUGGCUUACCAAGGCUUUGACGGGUAGCCGGCCUGAGAGGGUGACCGGCCACAUUGGGACUGAGAUACGGCCCAGACUCCUACGGGAGGCAGCAGUGGGGAAUAUUGCACAAUGGGCGGAAGCCUGAUGCAGCAACGCCGCGUGCGGGAUGACGGCCUUCGGGUUGUAAACCGCUUUCGCCUGUGACGAAGCGUGAGUGACGGUAAUGGGUAAAGAAGCACCGGCUAACUACGUG
rnacentral:rRNA from 1 species